UGAAGUCAAAAUACACAUUAAUCUGCAUGAUGAUUAACAACAGAUGAGAAUUCACAUUGUUGAAAAGUCAUAAAGUCCAUUAAAAAAUUAAUCCCGGAGAGACAAAUAUUUUGUUUCUUCGGGUCAAAUUUACUCUUGCUGUAGAACUGGAAUUCUGUCAAUCAAAGUGACCCCUAGCCACUAAUUCACUGGACAGUCCAAGUAGGUAAUAAAUCGACAUCUUCAGAAGCUUAGCAAGCAACACCGGACAGGCAACGAUUAUCAAGUCACCUAAAACCUCACAGCAGCAGAAGAAACACACAGAAGUAACAAAACAAGGAAGGAAAAGAAUUGGGUUUGGAAUACGAUGGACAAAAACAUGAAUUUUGCCUCUGUUACUAACUAACAGAGUAAACCUGGUCAAGUCACUUAAACUCUUCACAGGGAAUGAUAACACUACUCACAGGCAGGCUCUCAGCCAGUGAAGAACAACAACACCCAAACACAUGACACUCCUACUUUUUGGUACUCUUCAGAAAUAUGAGAAAUUAAUAGUGUUUGGAUUGAAGACGUUUCUUCAGUGGAAUUUAGUGGGAUGCUGCCUUCUGCAAGACAACUUCAGAGCAAGCCACAGAAUUCACUUCACCGUGAACUGCUAGCUUCAAGGAGGCCUGUGAGGGACACAGGAUUUUGUAAACGGUGGAACAUAAUCAUUGUUGUGCUUAGCAGGAGGAAAAGAAGGAGCAAGUGGCGAUGGUCAGGGAAAGAAGGAGAGACUGUAGGAGCUCUUGCGUGUGUGAGAGGGAGAGAGACUUAACAAGAAUUUUGCUGUGUGUUGCAUAAUGUAAUUGCUCAUCUCUGCUUUCUUAGGAGAGACCUGCAGUAAAGACCUAUAGUAUAUUUUCCAAAAGAAUGAAUUGACUUCAUUUCUUUUGAAUGCAAGUGUUAUGAAUCUGGCCAUAAAUUAAGACAGGAUUAUUGGGAUAAUAUUUCAGAGGCUCUAUCAGAAAUUGAAGACGUUAAGGCACAGUCUCGGCCACUUUCUAGAAUGGAGCAAAGAGUGCACAUUCACCUUGAUGGCCAGGUGCAAUAAAAAACGGAGUCGUCUUGUCCUCUGAAUUUCGACUCAAAGUCAGAGGGAAACUGGUGGCUACUGAGAAAUUAAAUUCACAGUCUUAAGGGCAAGACACCUUUGGGGCUAGAUGUUUCAGAUGGAGCUAUGAGCAAAAGAUUCUGUGAAUGGUCAUAACUGGCAAAGAUAAUCAAUUUUUUUCCCUCAGAGGAAGAAAAACACUUUUUUGACAAGAAUAUCUUCUCUUGAAAAAUACAUAGUGAGAGAAGAUUAUGCUUCCUAAGGUGGCAAAUGCCCCAGGUUAAGAGUGCAGUCACUUAAAAUGAUAAUGGACAUGAAAGGGGUGCAGGCAAGGGCAGAUGUGAAUGAGAAGCUGGGUGACUUUGGGGGCCUUCGUGAAGCACAAGGGAAGAGGAGACCAGAGCCACUAUCAUGUGGUGUGAAUAUGGGGAGGGAGAAAUUUCUGGAGAGGGCGCUUAAGAAGUUUUGUCACAUCUUGUAUACAAUGAGACCUCUUUUGUCGCUUCUUCGAGUCCAGGAAAAGACUAAUAUUGCUUUGUGUUUCUUUAUGAUGUUGACCAUCAAAACCCUUUUUUUAUGGGUUCCUAACAAUCAAGACUUCUGAUUUAUAAAGUUUCUAAUUGAGAUUAAUCAAAACAGUUAGAGAACAAGCUAAUCACAGAGUUAUCAAAUGGAAGAUACUGUAGACCAGCUUCUUACUGCGUUAAGACAUUUUCUGACAUGCAAGGUCAUCAUAAUGUGAUUCCCACCAACUUUCCAGCCAUUUAUCCUCCACAACACCUGCACCCUCAGCCCUCCUCCCUGCCACGUUUGAUGGCAUGGUAUGUUCUUACCUUCAUGGCCUUGCUCUUCCUCUUUGUCCCAUGUGGAUUACUUAUGAUUUGUCUGUAUCCCUCUCUGGAUUGUGACAUGCUACAUAUUGCUCUUUUCCAGAUAGCUGUGUGCUUUACUCCUACAUGUCUCUCAUGUCUCUGUUUAAAGGCCACUCAUCCUCGAGGCCUUCCCCUCCCCCGUUGUUUCUCCAUAAUGCUAGUCACUGCUUGCCAUUAUUUAUAUCAUUCUUUGCCUAACUUUUGUUUUCUGUCUGCCCACUGAGCAUGUAAGCUUCACGAAACAGGGACCGCUUCCAUUUUGUUCCUUGUUCUAUCUCUAGCAUCUGGAGCAAUGCCCACAUUUGGUGCUCAGUAAACAGUUCUUUAAUAAAGAAAUGAGUGAAUCAGAGCUGCAAUUCCUUUAACUUCAUAUUUCCCCAGUAACUAGCACAAGAUCUAGCACAGUGUAGGAACUCAAUGAUUGUUUCUUGAGUGAAUGGCAGUUCCUUGAAUUAUGAGAGCAGGAGGAGAGUUAUUGAAUGAUAAAAUGUAUCUUUUUUCUUUUUUAAGGAACAAUAGAUUGUAUGUAGAUAACAGGUAUAUAUAGUGGCUGAGCUGUUUAGUUUGAUCACUUGGUUAAGUAAUGGCUCCACUUCUUUCUAGCUGUGUGACUUUAGGUAUGUCAUCUCACCUCUCUGUGUCUCAGUUUCUCCAUAUGUAAGUUAACAUUUGCUAUGUUAAAUUAGCGCACACACAUAGAGCACUUAUUGUGAGCACUCAAUAAGUGUUAAUUAUUAUUAUAUAGAGAAAUAACUUGAGGGAAAAUUAAAAUAAUCAGAACUUUAAAAGAUAAUUUUUAUAAAAAUUUUA